UCUGCCGCCUGUUUUGGCCACACUUGCGUGGUGGGCAGCUGUCCUCCGCUUCCCAUCCACCUUAAUGUCUGACCACUUCUUUUUUAGUUCAGCAUGUGUGCGCUCUUCUGACCCCAAAGCAUUGACAGCCGCACACACGCUGUCCCAUUCACUUCUCUUUCACUUGUUCUUAACACUGGAUGACAGCAUGCCAAAGAGGAUUUUCUUAGAUUGGGAAAAUAAAACAGGCGGAGGAACCGGCGUGGAGGGAUUCACCCCAUUCAAGGAGAGAAUCGCUGCAAUCAUGAAUGACACUGCUCUCUUAGUGGUGGUGGUAGCACAUGUGACUGACUCUGAUUACCCCCAAGUACACACAGUCGCAGGCUGUUCGGGGGAUUCAUCCACCGUCCCUGGUGUUUCUGGUGUCACAGACGUGGAGGAUUCCUCCACCGUCCCCGGUGUCCCUGGUGUCACAGACGUGGUGUCACGUACGUGGUUAGGGCGAAGGCGAGGAACGCAAGGCAAGAACAUGGUGGACCCAAUUGCAGGGAAGCAGGGAGGCAAAGCAGGAGUGCGAGAAUCUCAAAAUAAUAAUAUUUAAUCACAAUGAUAAAAACAACUGGCGACUAUGACAUGGCUAGACAUGUGACAACGACAAUGAACCGACAAGAACUGAAAGAAACCAGGGAACUAAAUACAAACAAAUUGCCGACACAACGAGGAACACCUGGACAAGACGAGUGGCUGGAGAGAGCUGAUUGGUCGACACAAAGUAGACGAGAACAGGUGGACACAACAACCUAAUGAGCACACGACAAACAUGGAACACAGGAAAACAUGGAACAAAACUAAACACAACCCAAACCAAAACACAGACCAUGACACGUGGAGGAUUCGUCAACCGUUCCUGGCGUCUCCGAUGCAAUUACGCUCCAACAACCGGCUGCUGCUGGCCGCCCGACUGGCCGUGUCCUCACCCGUGCACACUGAUAAAAACAGUCCUUUGAAUUUACUUAAUUUGAACGUACAUCGGUUGCACCUGAUUAAAAUGUGUUAAAAUGACAUAAUUUACCCCUCUUCUCCUAUUUUCUUUAUUUUAACACAUUUUAAUCACGUGCAAACAAUGCAAUCUUUUUUUCAGUGCAUGUGCUGGAGUCACAAGAAGGGAUUGUGAGGGCAAUAGGAAGCAUAAA